rnacentral:rRNA from 1 species
UAGGGAAUCCUCCGCAAUGGGGGCAACCCUGACCGAGCAACGCCGCCUGAGUGAAGAAGGUUUUNAGAUNGUACAGCUCUGUUGUAAGUCAAGAACGAGUGUGAGAGUGGAAAGUUCACUCUGUGACGGUAGCUUACCAGAAAGGGACGGCUAACUACGUGCCCGCAGCCGCGGUAAUACGUAGGUACCGAGCGUUGUCCGGACUUAUUGGGCGUAAAGCGAGCGCAGGCGGUUUGAUAAGUCUGAAGUUAAAGGCUGUGGCUCAACCAUAGUUCGCUUUGGAAACUGUCAAACCUGAGUGCAGAAGGGGAGAGCGGAAUUCCAUGUGUAGCGGUGAAAUGUGUAGAUAUAUGGAGGAACACCGAUGGCGAGAGCCGCUCUGUGGUCUCUACUCUACGUUGAGGCUCGCAAGCGUUGGGAAAGAACAGGAGCGACCAGGAUUGGAUACCCUGGUAGUCCCCACCGUAAACGAUGAGUGUUAUGNUNGGAUCCCUNNNGUAAGAGNNCGCAUNAANNGNAUUAAGNACUCCGCCUGGGGAGUACGACCGCAAGGUUG